rnacentral:lncRNA from 1 species
GGAGGUUGAAUAGGGUUAGAAAGACGGCAUGACUAUAUCUCUAAUGUAGACCUAAAGUGCUUCCUAGAGCUAGGGACCAGGAUUCUAAAUGAGACCUGAGGGAAUGGAGCUGUUGUUGACAAGAGCUGUUAGACAAACAGGACAUGGAGGAGGAGAGGUCAAAAGUCCGUCUGACUCACCUGUGCUGAGUGACUUGAAUGCCAUCUAAUCUAACUUCAAGAUCAUCAGGAUACUUGCCAACAAGGUCACAGUGGACUCCAUGGAGCAACUGCCCUCAGGAGGCAACAGGUCACAGUGUUUGGACACCGCAUGAACAUGCCAAUUUCCUGUGUUGUAAUAUUUUUAUGCACUUUAAGAAGACCACCAGAAACAGCAGACUGAGGCGCAUAUUGGACAAAAAUCACUUAUCCAAGACCACGUUACUACAACCCCAGGGCACAGAAGCUAAGUCUUCCUAUUGUACUGAACUCAGUUGACUGGAAUUUGUUCAGGAAAGCAUGAAGUCAAAUGGAAGCUAGUCCGUGACUGGAUUCAUCUUUUGAACAGCCACAGGAUGUCUAGGAGCCAGCAGAGGGGCCAGAUAUGCUGCAGUUUAUGCUGUAAAAGGAAGCCUGCCGCCGUGAGUGGUCCAGUGGGAGCUCUUGCUUUGUGUCCUCAGCCUUUCACCUUUCCAUCUGAUGACUUGCUCUGAAUCUUCACUUCCUGGGCAGAUGAGGAAACAUGAUGUUCAGAAAGGUAUAUGACUUGAUCAAGAACCCACAACCAGGCAAUGAGAGGAAUAUGAGGCAAAAUCCAAUCUACUUGAUUCCACAGAGCUCUGAGUAUAGAUGAGGCAAACUUCACAUGGAAAAGAAGCCAUAUUUUGAAAAAACUACACGGAAUCAAAGAGAACUAACUCAAAGAAGCAAAAUUUUGGAGAUAAAACAAGCACCAUUCAGAAUCUGGACAUAUAAUAUGUUUAUGGCAUUUAACCUAGUCAGACAGUAGAUAUUGCUCUAAGUCAUGGCCUACACCUGUGAGCCUACUUAUAUCAGCAUUUGCCAAAUGUACUUGUAGCUGUGGUACUGACCUCAGAGAACUUAGCCAAAGAGCAAAGACUGCCUAAUUCAAGAAGUACUGAGAAGAUGUUCCAGGAUUACUUCAUGCUGUCCAGGUCCUAGACAUGGAAUCGUUUGCUUCUUCAAAAGUCUGGAUCCCUUUAAGAUACGAAAUGUAUUUAGAAACCAAAGUAUGGAUGCUAGGUGUGCUCAUGGCCAUUGGAGUGUGUUUCUAGACCCAGGAAUAAGCAAACAAUGGCCUGUAAACUA